rnacentral:rRNA from 1 species
CGACUCUCGGCAACGGAUAUCUCGGCUCUCGCAUCGAUGAAGAACGUAUCGAAAUGCGAUACUUGGUGUGAAUUGCAGAAUCCCGUGAACCAUCGAGUCUUUGAACGCAAGUUGCGCCCGAAGCCGUUAGGCCGAGGGCACGUCUGCCUGGGUGUCACG